rnacentral:rRNA from 1 species
GAUGAACGCUGGUGGCGUGCCUAACACAUGCAAGUCGAGCGAUUCUCUUCGGAGAAGAGCGGCGGACGGGUGAGUAACGCGUGGGUAACCUGCCCUGUACACACGGAUAACAUACCGAAAGGUAUGCUAAUACGAGAUAAUAUGCUUUUAUCGCAUGGUAGAAGUAUCAAAGCUUUUGCGGUACAGGAUGGACCCGCGUCUGAUUAGCUAGUUGGUGAGGUAACGGCUCACCAAGGCGACGAUCAGUAGCCGACCUGAGAGGGUGAUCGGCCACAUUGGAACUGAGACACGGUCCAAACUCCUACGGGAGGCAGCAGUGGGGAAUAUUGCACAAUGGGCGAAAGCCUGAUGCAGCAACGCCGCGUGAGCGAUGAAGGCCUUCGGGUCGUAAAGCUCUGUCCUCAAGGAAGAUAAUGACGGUACUUGAGGAGGAAGCCCCGGCUAACUACGUG